ANACGUAGGGGGCAAGCGUNUCCGGAAUCACUGGGCGUAAAGGGUGCGUAGNCGGCCAAUAAAGUCAGAGGUGAAANGNUACGGNUCAACCNGUAGUAAGCCUUUGAAANUUAUNGGCUUGAGUGCAGGAGAGGAGAGUGGAAUUCCUAGUGUAGCGGUGAAAUGCGUAGAUAUUAGGAGGAACACCAGUGGCGAAGGCGACUCUCUGGACUGUAACUGACGCUGAGGCACGAAAGCGUGGGGAGCGAACAGGAUUAGAUACCCUGGUAGUCCACGCCGUAAACGAUGAGUGCUAGGUGUUGGGGGUCAAACCUCAGUGCCGCAGCUAACGCAUUAAGCACUCCGCCUGGGGAGUACGCUCGCAAGAGUAAAACUCAAAGGAAUUGACGGGGACCCGCACAAGCAGCGGAGCAUGUGGUUUAAUUCGAAGCAACGCGAAGAACCUUACCUGGACUUGACAUCCUUUAGACCGCUUCGUAACGGAAGCUUUCCCUUCGGGGACUGAAGUGACAGGUGGUGCAUGGUUGUCGUCAGCUCGUGUCGUGAGAUGUUGGGUUAAGUCCCGCAACGAGCGCAACCCUUGUCUUUAGUUGCCAUCAAGUAAUGUUGGGCACUCUAGAGAGACUGCCGGGGACAACUCGGAGGAAGGUGGGGAUGACGUCAAAUCAUCAUGCCCCUUAUGUUCAGGGCUACACACGUGCUACAAUGGCCGAUACAAAGGGCAGCGAAGGAGUAAUCCGGAGCAAAUCUCAUAAAGUCGGUCUCAGUUCGGAUUGUGGGCUGAAACUCGCCCACAUGAAGUCGGAGUUGCUAGUAAUCGCGAAUCAGAAUGUCGCGGUGAAUGCGUUCCCGGGUCUUGUACACACCGCCCGUCACACCACGGGAGUCGGAAGCGCCCGAAGCCAGCUGCUCAACCAGAAAUGGAGAGAGUUGUCGAAGGUGAAGUCGAUGACUGGGGUGAAGUCGUAACAAGGUAGCCGUAUCGGAAGGUGCGGCUGGAUCACCUCCUU
rnacentral:rRNA from 1 species